rnacentral:snRNA from 1 species
GUGCUUGCUUCAGCAGCACAUUUACUAAAAUUGGACCGAUAAAGAGAAGAUUAGCAUCGCCCCUGCACAAGGAUAACAGGCAAAUUCGUGUAGCGCUCCAUAUUUAA